CAAAGUCAUGUCCCCUCAUGUUCAUAUUCAAAAACAAUCCAUUCACCCUACACUUUGACCUGAAAUUAAUGUGAACCUAAAUAAAUGACAGGUCUUUCCAUCAAGAUAUCUUAAAAUGUUUGCCAAAAGACAGGAAAGAUAUUUACUGAAAAAUUAGCUGUAGUUAUCAAUGGAUAUAGGCCUAUCAAGAAUUUUUGCUUUCUUUGUUGUGCUUCUCUGUAACAUUUUUUGUAAUCAGAAACAAACUGGAAAUUAGUUUAAAAUAUCCUCUAUUUGAAUAUUUUUCCAAGCCCUUGUCUAGGAAGCCACCUCAUUUUUUGUGUGGCACUUGGUAAUUCCCAAAACCUUGUAUAUCUAUUUCAUAUCCCCUUCUGGGUUCUUCUUUCAUGUAGAACAGAGCAAGUUCUGCUCUCAGUUUUCCUUGUUCCCAUCCUUCCAUUCUCACUCUCGCCUACAUUUAAUUCUUAUCUCUUCAUGACUGUUUCCUAAAUGUAUAUUCCUUAUCCUGAACUAUCUCGUCAUAAUCACCUUAGAAUUUAUUCAGUUUGCAGAUUCCUGAUUCCACCUGAGACCUAAUUAAUCAAAAUGUUCAAGGAUAGAGCCUGGGUAUAAUAUUUGUAAAAUUCCACAGGAAUUCAGAUGUGUUCUUCUGAUUUUAAGAUGUUUUAAAACAGUCCUUUUAAGAGACUUAAUCAUUUUUCCCCCCUUGGUCUGUCUUCUAUACCAGAUUGUUAGAGGCAAGGAAUAUGGCUUAUUUAUCUUUUUAUACUUUGGGUAUCUAGUUACCAAUUCUAAUGCUCAUUGACUUGCAAGAUGGAUCUCAAUUUAACCAUCAUGACAAAAUAAAUAUGCAAUGAGUUUGAGAGAUAUAUCCAAAUUCUAUUUUCUUACCUUCCUUAUAUUCCCUAACCCAAUGCAUUUACGUUUCUUUUUCUUGCCACACCACUUACAUACUUCCCAAGGUCACUAACAGC
rnacentral:lncRNA from 1 species